CAUCGGUCCCCCGCAACGAUUAACCGUUAACCUGGUCAGGCCUGGAAGGGAGCAGCCACAGCGGGAACAUUGUGUGCCGGGGUGUGGCUGUUGGAG
rnacentral:SRP_RNA from 1 species